rnacentral:misc_RNA from 1 species
AACUUUUAACAACGGAUCACUUGGCUCUCGCAUCGAUGAAGAACGCAUCGAAAUGCGAUAAGUAAUGUGAAUUGCAGAAUUCAGUGAAUCAUCGAAUCUUUGAACGCACCUUGCGCUCCUUGGUAUUCCGAGGAGCAUGCCUGUUUGAGUGUCAUUAAAUUCUCAACCUUCCAGCUUUUAUUAGCUUGGUUAGGCUUGGAUGUGGGGGUUGUGGGCUUCAUUAAUGAGGUCAGCUCUCCUUAAAUGCAUUAGCGGAACUUUUGUGGACCGUCUAUUGGUGUGAUAAUUAUCUACGCCGUGGAUGUGAAGCAGCUUUAUGAAGUUCAGCUUCUAAUCGUCCAUUGACUUGGACAAUUUUUGACAAUUUGACCUCAAAUCAGGUAGGACUACCCGCUGAACUUAAGCAUAUCAAUAAGCGGAGGCU